AUGAGCAGCCGCCGCCACCGCUCGCCGUCGGCGGCGCCGCUGGAUGACGAAAACCUACUCCCCGAGAUCCUCCUCCGCCUCCCGCCGCAGCCCUCCUCCCUCCCCCGCGCCUCACUCGUCUGCAAGCGCUGGCGCGGCCUCGUCUCCGACCCCGGCUUCCUCCGCCGCUUCCGGAUCCACCACCGCCGCAGCCCUCCCCUCCUCGGUUGCUUCGUCGAAGAACCUCACGGUAUCUCCUUCCUGCCUGCUCUCGAGGCCCCCAACCGUCUUCCUGCCUGCCGCCUCUCUUUCCAGUCCGGCUACAAUAACCGCUUUAAGCUACUCAACUGCCGCCAUGGCCUCGUGCUCAUCGCCGACAAGACGCGGCACCACCAAUUCCUCGUGUGGGACACCAUCACCGGCGACCAGUACCACCUAGCCGUCCCCGCGCUGUUCGACACGGAAGAGGUGGUGCUGGUCAACGGGGCGAUGCUUCGUGCUGCGGGAGACACCCAUCACUUCCAGGUGGUCUGUGUAGCAACACGCAGACUCGAUCUGCAUCGUCGACAAGCAGCGCUCGCCUGCGUUUACUCGUCGGAGACCGGCGCUUGGGGUAACCUCAUCUCGACGCCCAUUCAGUCCGACCUCGACUCCCAGUCAAGCCUUCAUCUCUACUUAUUCGGCAUCACAAUUAUGGAAGCGCCCGCAAUGCUUCUCGGGGACUCUCUUUACUGGACUCUUACUGAUGAUUCAUCAAGCAUCCUUGAAUUUGAUCUUCUGAGGCAGAGUCUGGCUGUAAUGCGGAUGCCCAAGGAUGUGUAUAAGUAUGAAGGUCACAUCACGGUUAUAAGGGCAGAUAGUGGUGGGCUGGGUUUCCUCAUGCUGACAGACUUCACCCUGCAAUUAUGGAAGCGGAAGAUUGAUUGCGAUGGUGUUGCCUCAUGGGGGCUGGAAAAAACUGUUGAACUGGACAAGCUACUUUCCCUUAAUCCAGAGAAGGGCAGCAUUAUGAUACUUGGGUUUGCUGAGGAAAACAAGAUGGUGUUCCUGGGGACAUUUAUCGGCCUCUUUGCACUCCAGCUUCACUCAUUGCAGUUCAAAAAGCUAUCCGAAAGGACCGAAACCAAAAGCAUAUCUCAUUGCCAUCCAAUUGAAAGUGUGUAUACUGCAGAUGUUGGUGGUGAACAUGGUCGAGCUGAACUUUUGAACAAUGCAUAA
rnacentral:rRNA from 1 species